AUGGAAAUAUCUUGGAUCAAGUUGGAUCCCAUUACCUUGAAUCAUCGACAAAUUCUUUCACUUAUCGCAUUCUCAAUCUUUUCUUUAUUUUUUAUUACAAUACAUAUCGACAUGCUUUUGAAAAAUAUAUCAUUUACAUAAACAGUUAAUUUUUUAAUAUAUAACGUGAUGUUAUCCAUUCAUCAUAAUAUUUUAACAUGA
rnacentral:lncRNA from 1 species